UACAGAAGUCUCGAGCGUUGUUCGGAUUCAUUGGGCGUAAAGGGCGCGUAGGCGGCGGGGUAAGUCUGGUGUGAAAUCUAGGAGCUCAACUCCUAAACUGCACUGGAUACUGCUCUGCUGGAGGACUGGAGAGGAGACUGGAAUUCACGGUGUAGCAGUGAAAUGCGUAGAUAUCGUGAGGAAGACCAGUGGCGAAGGCGGGUCUCUGGACAGUUCCUGACGCUGAGGCGCGAAGGCCAGGGGAGCAAACGGG
rnacentral:rRNA from 1 species